GACGAACCGUGCGAACGUUGUUCGGAAUCACUGGGCUUAAAGGGCGCGUAGGCGGGCCAUCAAGUCAGGGGUGAAAUCCUCCCGCUCAACGGGAGAACAGCUUUUGAUACUGGUGGCCUCGAGGGGGGUAGGGGCAUGUGGAACUUCCGGUGGAGCGGUGAAAUGCGUAGAUAUCGGAAGGAACGCCGGUGGCGAAAGCGACGUGCUGGACCCUUUCUGACGCUGAGGCGCGAAAGCCAGGGGAGCAAACGGG
rnacentral:rRNA from 1 species